rnacentral:rRNA from 1 species
UACGUAGGGGGCACGCGUUGUCCGGCAUCAUUGGGCGUAAAGAGCGUGUCGGCGGCUCGAUAAGUCUGCUGUGAAAGUCCAGGGCUCAACCCUGGAAGGCCGGUGGAAACUGUCGGGCUAGAGUCCGAAAGAGGCGAGUGGAAUUCCCGGUGUAGCGGUGAAAUGCGUAGAUAUCGAGAGGAACACCGGCGGCGAAGGCGGCCACCUGGACGAGGACUGACGCUGAGAUGCGAAAGCGUGGGGAGCAAACAGG